GGUUGCUUCUGGAAGGCUGAAAUUGCGCCAAAAAAAUUGUGAGAUGUUUGUGUGUUUACCAGCUGGCUUGUUUGGAAUAUCUGUCCAGCUCAAAAAUGGCUCCAGCGGUUAGAAACCGGUGUUGGAUGGCAGAAUGGUUUUAUGGAAACUUCAAGCAUAUGACAGCUUCAUUUUCUUCCACAAGGCUGUGAGACCAGGUUGCAGGUGAUGCUAAAGUUAUCAGAUCUACAGCACCAGGUGACAUACAGCCAACACUUACAGUGUCUACUUCAUUGUCAAAAGAAAUGUCUGUGUCUCCUUUGUUAAACCAGCUGGCUUGUUUGGAAUAUCUGUCCAGUUCAAAAAUGGCUCCAGCGGUUAGAAAACGGUGUUGGAUGGCAGAAUGGUUUUAUGGAAACUUCAAGCAUAUGACAGCUUAAUUUUCUUCCACAAGGCUGUGAGACCAGGUUGCAGGUGAUGCUAAAGUUAUCAGAUCUACAGCACCAGGUGACAUACAGCCAACACUUACAGUGUCUACUUCAUUGUCAAAAGAAAUGUCUGUGUCUCCUUUGUUAAACCAGAUGCAGCAAUGUGAAGCGAGAGGCCAUAAUAUACAGAGGUCUUCACUUCAACUGCGUCUGCUGACAUCCAGGCUGCAAGUUGGUUAUCCGGUCAAGCUGCUGUUUGCUGCAUGAGGACACCUCUGCUGCACAAGAUCUGCUACGUCAUUCUGCUGCACAAGAUGAGACUUCGCUGGGACACCAUUCAAGUAUGACAAGGAUUCAACCAGAUUCAUCCGUCCUCAGACGUGUUCAGAACGCUACGUUGAGAUAUAUACUUGGUUUUAUAUAAAGAUCUUCAAGCACUGGACAAAAUGUCUACAUGAAACAUUUCUCCGUUACAUCAGCCCAGCAUAUGUGACCGUGUAUGGAGAGAUGCUCACUUCACCUCUUGUUUACGCAGAAGAAAUGCUUCCACGCUGUCGCUAGAUGAUUCUCACUCAUUACAAUGGCACCAUGAUGACUGUUUACAGAUUACAGAGAACCUAAUCGAACGCCUUUCUGCAACUAUUGAAUAAUUGGAACACAACUUGUGACUUUAGCCCAGUGACAUUAAGCUAGGUUCUGUCAUAGCUGUCUCUUUAAAGAUGAACAAUUAAACUUAUAUACACACACGAUGUGCACAGGGAAAAAAAGGUGAUUAUGGCAGAAGUGCAGCAUUUUUCUUCGACUACCUUGAACGAUAAACAUGGAUGUAAUUUGGAUUUAUGACCUCUGUCUGCUAUUUUAAGUGUUGUGUUGCUGUGUGUCAAUAAAGCUUUGACUUCUCUUA